CCUACGGGAGGCAGCAGUGGGGAAUAUUGCACAAUGGGGGAAACCCUGAUGCAGCGACGCCGCGUGAGCGAAGAAGUAUUUCGGUAUGUAAAGCUCUAUCAGCAGGGAAGAAAAUGACGGUACCUGAGUAAGAAGCUCCGGCUAAAUACGUGCCAGCAGCCGCGGUAAUACGUAUGGAGCAAGCGUUAUCCGGAUUUACUGGGCGUAAAGGGAGCGUAGGCGGCCUGCCAAGUCUGAUGUGAAAUACCGGGGCUCAACCCCGGGACUGCAUUGGAAACUGCCGAACUAGAGUGUCGGAGAGGCAAGUGGAAUUCCUAGUGUAGCGGUGAAAUGCGUAGAUAUUAGGAGGAACACCAGUGGCGAAGGCGGCUUGCUGGACGAUGACUGACGUUGAGGCUCGAAAGCGUGGGGAGCAAACAGGAUUAGAUACCCGGGUAGUC
rnacentral:rRNA from 1 species